rnacentral:rRNA from 1 species
AUGCAUUGGCUUGCAUGGUUGAAAUUGUGUGUACCGAAUAAGAAAGGGGGCUUGGGUUUUAGAGACCGUCACGUUUUUAACCUUGCUAUGUUAGCAAAACAGUGUUGGCAACUAAUCCAGAAUCCGGACUCCUUAUGUGCAUGUGUUUUAAGUGCCAAAUAUUAUCCAGAUGGUAACAUUUUUAAGGCUGGACCAAAGAAGGGUUCUUCAUACACUUGGCAAAGCAUUGUUGUGGGCAUCCAAACUUUUCAAUGGGGUUGUAUCUGGCGUGUGGGAUUGGGAGCACAAAUUGAUAUUAGGCAAAACCCAUAA